rnacentral:rRNA from 1 species
AGCCAGCAGCCGCGGUAAUACAGAGACGGCAAGCGUUGUUCGGAUUCACUGGGCGUAAAGGGUCCGCAGGUGGUGAAGCAAGUCUGAUGUGAAAUCCCGCAGCUUAACUGCGGAACUGCAUCGGAAACUACUUCGCUAGAGGUUGGUAGAGGAGUCUGGAAUUCUCGGUGUAGCGGUGAAAUGCGUAGAUAUCGAGAGGAACACCAGUUGCGAAGGCGAGACUCUGGACCAUACCUGACACUCAGGGACGAAAGCGUGGGGAGCAAACGGGAUUAGAUACCCCGGUAGUCCACGCCCUAAACUGUGCUUACUUGGUGUGGGAGGAUUCGACCCCUUCCGUGCCGGAGCUAACGCGUUAAGUAAGCCGCCUGGGGAGUACGGCCGCAAGGUUAAAACUCAAAGGAAUUGACGGGGGCCCGCACAAGU